GAGUUUGAUCAUGGCUCAGAACGAACGCUGGCGGCGCGCCUAAUACAUGCAAGUCGAGCGAGAAGACGUAGCUAAUACGUUUGUAAAGCGGCGAACGGGUGAGGAAUACAUGGGUAACCUACCCUCGAGUGGGGGAUAACGUAGCCGAAAGGUUAGCUAAUACCGCAACUACGACUCUCGGUCUGCGGAUCGAGAGAGAAAGCGAUACCGUGGGUAUCGCGCUCUUGGAUGGGGCUCAUGUCCUAUCAGCUUGUUGGUGAGGUAACGGCUCACCAAAGGCUUCGACGGGUAGCUGGGUCUGAGAGGACGAUCAGCCACACUGGCACUGCGACACGGGCCAGACUCCUAACGGGAGGCAAGCAGUAAGGAAUAUUGCGCAAUGGG
rnacentral:rRNA from 1 species